GGUGUGUUUUUUACACGAUUGGGACUGAGCAAUAGUCUGCACAUACUAAUAUAUUUCUGUUUUGUCAGUGGUGCUUAGAUACGUACCAGAAACCACAUUCAGAAAUAUAGUUUCAAAAAAGACUGCUAAACUUAUCCUAUCUUUAUAUAAACGUUCUUAUUUUUUACAGGCAAUAGAAUGUGUCCGCUUCUAUAUCAAAGAAACAUUUCUGGAGGAAAUUUAAAGUGAGCCAUACAUGUCCACACUUCGGAAAGUGAGUGGUCUUCAAGACCAGCAGCUGGUAACAAUGCUCAGUAAAGAUAAACAUCUGGUGGGAGUCUACGUGAAAGAUGUCUUGCUACGCGAGGCUUUGGCAGCCAUAUUCCAAGCGUUUACAGGGGACACGUAUGACAAUGCCAAUGCUGAAUGUUGUUCCGUUCUUGAUCGUUCAAGAUUAAGAGCAAUGCACGCUGCAUGUGCGAUUGGUGCAGUCAAAAAGGAUACAUUGAACAAGAAAUACCAACACCUUGUCGGGAAGUGAUGUGAUCGAACUUUUUGCAUAUUGUUAUUUGUUUUACAUAUCGAGAUGUGACAGUCAGGAUUACCAUAGACCUUAAAAAGUGCUUGUAAAUCAAAACAUUGGCUUGAAAAGUGCUUAAAUUUGGCAAGAAAGUGCUUGAAAAUGAAAUGAUCACAAUUAAAAGUGCUUAUACCAUAUUUAUUAUUUUAAAAUAUUCUUUCCAAGCUUUCCGCUUUUUAAAUUCCGAUGAUAUUGAUAGCUCGUUCUAUAUGAGGAGAACCACUGUUUGUUUACAGUCUUUCUGGUUCGGGUUUUGACGGGAAUUAUGCAGCUGAUGCUUCACAAUUAAAUAAGCACAACUAUGCUUCACUACAUGUUUUUAUUGUUAUGUAUGUAUAAAAAUAUUUUCGUAAGAAUUGCAAUAAAAAGUACUUCAAGACAUUUUAAAGUUGUAAAUAGGAAAAUUGCUGGAAUUUCACUUUUUUGACAUUGAAAAGUGCUUGAAAAAUGCUUGAAUUUAAAUUAAUGGUGCUCUGUACUUCCUUAAAAGUGAGUCUCUGAACCACAUUCCAGUCAGUUUAUGUGAAUUAUUUGAUUUCUUUGCUUCUUGUUGGUAUUUUUGUAAAAAGUAUACCAUAAAAUUCAUUAUGAAUGAAUGGUAAUAGUGUAUCCUUACUGCCUUUUAAAUUAGUGUGUUUCUUUUUUCAAAAUUGUUGUUCUUCUAUGCUAUUAUUUUGUUGCAUUGAAUAUACACACAUAUAUGCUUAGUGUAUUAUUGAUUUGGGUAACUAUAAUUGUAUAGUGACACGAGAAAUUACUAAAUUUAUAACUUUAUGUAUUUUAAAUUAGUUUCUUUACCACAUUCCAGUCAUUUUAUGUGAAUUAAUUGAUUUUUUGUUUCUUGUUUGUAUUUUUGUAAAAAGUAUAGCAUACAAACCAUAAUGAAUGAAUGGUAAUAGUGUAUCCUUACUGCCUUUUAAAUUCGUGUGUUUCUUUUUUCAAAACCGUUGUUCUUCUAUGCUAUUAUUUUGUUGCAUUGAAUAUACACACAUAUUCGCUUAGUGUAUUAUUGAUUUGGGUUACUAUAAUUGUAUAGUGACACGAGAAAUUACUAAAUUUAUAACUUUAUGUAUUUUAAAUUAGUUUCUUCACCACAUUCCAGUCAUUUUAUGUGAAUUAAUUGAUUUUUUGUUUCUUGUUGGUAUUUUUGUAAAAAGUAUACCAUACAAACCAUUAUGAAUGAAUGGUAAUAGUGUAUCCUUACUGCCUUUUAAAUUAGUGUGUUUCUUUUUUCAAAACCGUUGUUCUUCUAUGCUAUUAUUUUGUUGAAUUGAAUAUACACACAUAUAUGCUUAGUGUAUUAUUGAUUUGGUUACUAUAAUUGUAUAGUGACACGAGAAAUUACUAAAUUUAUAAUUUUAUGUAUUUAAAAUUAGUUUCUGUAACACAUUCCAGUCAUUUUAUGUGAAUAAAUUGAUUUCUUGUUUCUUGUUGUUAUUUUUGUAAAAAGUAUACCAUACAAACCAUGAUGAAUGAAUGGUAAUAGUGUAUCCUUACUGCCUUUUAAAUUAGUGUUUUUCUUCUUUCAAAACCGUUGUUCUUCUAUGCUAUUAUGUUGUUGCAUUGAAUAUACACACAUAUAUGCUUAGUGUAUUAUUGAUUUGGUUACUAUAAUUGUAUAGUGACACGAGAAAUUACUGAAUUUAUAAUUUUAUGUAUUAAAGAUGGUGAACUUAUGAAAAAGUCUUCAAACACUGUCUGUUCUGUUCAAUCUGUUUACGAAUCCACUUAAUUAGUUCUUGACUAUUAGUUUUGUCAUUCGAUAUUCAGGUUUCUCUUAAAAACACAACUUCAUUACUGUUGAGAUAUGAUAAAAAGGCAUCAUUCCCUAAUGAUAUCCGGAGUCCGCUGAAGUUCCAAGCGGGAGAAUGAGCGACGGGGAUAGGGUGGGCUCCUGGUUUCAUGAUCUGUAUGGACAUCCUUUGAUGAA